ACACGUAACUCAGUGUUCGCUGGAACGUGGAAGAGAAAGGUUGUGUGUCGCACCUCUCUCUCGCACCUCCAUCCAUCCCUCUCCCUGUCUUCCGCUCUCCUCCUCCUCCUGUACGUCUGUGUGUGCGUGUGUGUAGAGAGAGGAGGGAGAGUUAUUCUUGUACUUACUUCCAUGUGCGUGUGCGUGUGCGUGUGCGUGUGUGUAUUGGUGUGUGUACGUGUUGAAGUUGGCACACGUGUAUUGUACAUGAAAGGGAGAUGAAGAAGAAGAUUUAGAAAGAAGAGGAAGAUUGAAGAAGGAGAGAUCGUUUAGUGAUGUGGAAGGAAAAGGAGAGGGAAAAAAAGUUAUAGUUGGAGAAAGUAAAGUGGAUGAAAGGAAAAUAAAAGUUGUACUAAGAAAAAGUUAAUAAAACGGAGAAAAGAAGAGAGAAAAGAAUAAUUUGACAAGUGUAAGAAACAAAACAGGAAAAAAAGUGUACUAGAAAAGUUAAUUGAACGUGGAAAAGGAGAGAGGAAAGAAAGUUUGACAAGUGGAAGAAAAAAUGGAAAAGAUAAAAGUUGUACUAGAAAGAAAUUAAACGAACGAGGAAAAGUAAAGAAAAAAAAUAAGUUCGCAAAGUAGAAGAAAGAAAAUAAAAUGCACUAGAAAAAAAUAUUGAACGUGGAAAAGAAUAAAGUUUGACAAGUGGAAGAAAAAAUGGAAAAGAUAAAAGUUGUACUCGAAAAAAAAUAAACGAACGAGGAAAAGUAAAGAAAAAAAUAAGUUCGCAAAGUAGAAGAAAAAAAAGCACUAGAAAAAAAUAUUGAACGUGGAAAAGAAUAAAGCUUGACAAGUGGAAGAAAGGAAAAAAAAAAAAAUCGUAUUAGAAAAAAAAAGUUUAUUGACCGUUUAGAAGAAAUUAAACGUGUUCUAUUUAACGAAGCAAUCGCUCAGUGGUGGUGGUCGCGGUGGUGAAGUCCAAAGAAGAAGCGCUCGUGGUGAUGAUAAUGGUGAUGAUGAUGGUGGUGAUGGUGAUGAUGCAUGGUUGACGGACGAUGGGGGAGGUGAACCGUGUGGUGGUUGAUUGCUACCACCACAACGACCACAACAACAACCAUAGCAAUUACUACUACUACUACUACAACUACUACUACAACUACUACUACUACUCAUUGAAGGAUUAUAAACUAUCUGUAAACAACAACAACAACAAAAACAGUUAUAGAUGACAACUACCUAAGUCAUCCCGGUACUACUACUACUACUACUACUACUACUACUACUACUACAACGACUACUUCAUAAACCGCCGCUACGAUGAAUAAGCACGACCAGGCCUCAGCGAUGGAGGACACGGUGCAUCGGCGCUGUGUUCGCUGUGGAGACGCCUGCCCAGGAUUUGAAGCCCAUUUUUGGAGGUGAGUGG